GCCCUCGUAGUUCAACGGAUAGAACGGCUCACUCCUAACGAGUCGAUCGAGGUUCAAUUCCUCGCGAGGGCACAA
rnacentral:tRNA from 1 species